GUCUACAGCCAUACCACACUGAAUGUGCUCAAUCUCAUCUGAUCUCAGAAACUAAGCAGGAUUGGGCCAGGUUAGUAUAUGGAUGAGAGACCACUGUGAAGACAGGGUGCUGUUGGCU
rnacentral:rRNA from 1 species